UCCAAUGACCAGGCAUAAUAUGAAAGACGAGUGGGAGAAUGUGGCCAAAGUGAUGGUGUUAGGCUACAACAUGGCAAAGUACUUUCCUGUGGCCUUGGCUAAGCCCUUUCUUUCUCACUGCCUUCACCAGGAAAUCAAGGAUGAUGAACUGCUUGCUGCAUUCCUGGAAACAAUUCCAAGUGAAGAUAAGGAGAUUGCAGAGCAGGCAAUAAGAGAUUUCAAAUCCAUUUUUGGAAAAGAGGAAUGGUUUGAAUUCCUUGAGGCACAUGACAUUAAAAGACAUGUCACGGAGGACAAUUUGAGGAGAACUCUGCUUGAAGUUGCACACAAAGAAAUGGUGCAAGACCCAGCCUAUGUAGCAGAGUGUUGGAGCAAUAUUCUGCAGGGACUCUAUCUUCCUCCAGGAGGACUAGAUGAAGUGAUGUCUAGUCUCACUCCCACAACCAGGAAGGUUGUAGCAAUGUUGCAACAUGAAGCUCUCAACAAACGAGAGUGUCAGAUUCUGGAUUUCCUUAAAAAAUUUAUCAGGACCUGUAGUGAUGUACGCCUGAGAAAAUUUCUCCGGUUUUGCACAGGUGCUGAUCUACUUGUAUCACAGUCCAUCCAUGUGCGUUUCACUGAGCCAAAGAGCACCUUUACCAGAAGCCCCCAGUCACACACAUGUGGUUGUGUGUUAGAAGUGCCAAACAACUACGGAUCAUACCUUGAGCUUGCUGAAGAUUUUACAAGUGUACUUGAUGCCAACAUGUGGGUAAUGGACAUUAUUUAGAGGUUUUAGGACUCCAAACAUAAUGUUGACAGGGACAUCCCAAUUUUUAGAUUAAUAAAUACUAUUGGACUAGUUUAAACAUUGGUAUGUUAGUGGUGUUUCACAGUAUUUGAUUUCUUAUCUAAGUGAAAUAAGGUUUACAAAUAGUGUUUUUCUUUACUGAAUAAUUACAUUUGGGGAAUUUCAUUUGCACAUCGAUAUCUAGAUAUAAUGUUUGAUACAAUGUUUGAUUUGAUGGAGGGUCUUUUAAAUUUAAAUUGAUAUAGGGCAAAAUAAAUUUGACCGAACUGCAUUAAUUUGACAGAAUAAGAUAUAAUCUGACAACAUAUGGUUUAGGAUGGAUUAGGAUUAUUUUACGUUCUCACAAUUUGACUAAGAUCUGUUCAUUAGCUCUUUUUAUGUUCAUAAAUAAAAAAAUAUAUAGUUUUCUAUUGAUGGUUUCAGCUUAAACGAUAAUAAACAGUAAUAACACUUUACUUGAGCAAGGACAGUUUAUUAUAUAAAAAGCAUUCUAGUAUUUGGGUUUUAAUUAUGGAUGUGUUAGUAUGAAUAUUUUAUUUUUCUGGAAUAGGGUAUUUUCACAACAUACCUACAGUAAGCAUUUCAGAACACGUAGGAAUUUUUUGUCUCUUUACUCUUUAGUUAAAGUUGUUGUGAUAAAUACAAUGCACUUUUUUAUGUUGUUUGUUAUUCUGAAGUGUUUUACUGAGUUUGCUAUUUUUGUAGUGAAUUCUACAUUUCUAAGUAGAA